rnacentral:rRNA from 1 species
GGGGAAUUUUGGACAAUGGGCGCAAGCCUGAUCCAGCAAUGCCGCGUGCAGGACGAAGGCCUUCGGGUUGUAAACUGCUUUUGUACAGAACGAAAAGGCUCUGGUUAAUACCCGGGGCUCAUGACGGUACUGUAAGAAUAAGCACCGGCUAACUACGUGCCAGCAGCCGCGGUAAUACGUAGGGUGCAAGCGUUAAUCGGAAUUACUGGGCGUAAAGCGUGCGCAGGCGGUUUUGUAAGACAGAGGUGAAAUCCCCGGGCUCAACCUGGGAACUGCCUUUGUGACUGCAAGGCUGGAGUACGGCAGAGGGGGAUGGAAUUCCGCGUGUAGCAGUGAAAUGCGUAGAUAUGCGGAGGAACACCGAUGGCGAAGGCAGUCCCCUGGGCCUGUACUGACGCUCAUGCACGAAAGCGUGGGGAGCAAAC